ensembl:misc_RNA Metazoa_SRP Metazoan signal recognition particle RNA
GCCGGAUGCAGUGGCGCGUGCCUGUAGUCCCAGCUACUUAGGAGUCUGAUGUGGGAGGAUUGCUUGAGCCCAGGAGUUCUGGGCUGUAGUGCGCUAUGCUGAUGGGGUGUGUGCACUAAGUUCGGCAUCAAUAUGGUGACCUCCUGGGAGCGGGGGAUCACCAGGUUCCCUAAGGAGGGGUGAACCGGCCCAGGCCAGAAACGGAGCACGUCAAAACUCCAGUGCUGAUCAGUAGUGGGAUUGCCCCUGUGAAUAGCUACUGCACUCCAGCCUGGGCAACAUAGCAAGACCAUUUCUCU